rnacentral:rRNA from 1 species
UACAGAGGGUGCAAGCGUUGUUCGGAAUUACUGGGCGUAAAGCGCGCGUAGGCGGACCUGCAAGUCGGGGGUGAAAGCCCGAGGCUCAACCUCGGAACUGCCUUCGAUACUGCGGGUCUCGAGUCCGGGAGAGGUGAGUGGAAUUCCUAGUGUAGAGGUGAAAUUCGUAGAUAUUAGGAAGAACACCAGUGGCGAAGGCGGCUCACUGGCCCGGUACUGACGCUGAGGCGCGAAAGCGUGGGGAGCAAACAGG